rnacentral:rRNA from 1 species
GUCUACGGCCAUACCACCCUGAACGCGCCCGAUCUCGUCUGAUCUCGGAAGCUAAGCAGGGUCGGGCCUGGUUAGUACUUGGAUGGAGUGACUUUAGAAUUACAGAAAAUUUGCAAAGA